CCUCAGUGAUGACACGAUGACGAGACCGAUAAGAUUCAGUCUGGGUCAGUGGUGUACUGGUUCAGACCCACGUUCUGUGAUUCUAUUCUGGUCACCCUGACCAGCGAGUCUUUCCUCGUGACGACACUGAGGCAUUUGUCUGAGAGGG